rnacentral:rRNA from 1 species
AUUGAACGCUGGCGGCAGGCCUAACACAUGCAAGUCGAACGGUAACAGGAAGCAGCUUGCUGCUUUGCUGACGAGUGGCGGACGGGUGAGUAAUGUCUGGGAAACUGCCCGAUGGAGGGGGAUAACUACUGGAAACGGUAGCUAAUACCGCAUAACGUCGCAAGACCAAAGAGGGGGACCUUAGGGCCUCUUGCCAUCGGAUGUGCCCAGAUGGGAUUAGCUAGUAGGUGGGGUAACGGCUCACCUAGGCGACGAUCCCUAGCUGGUCUGAGAGGAUGACCAGCCACACUGGAACGGAGACACGGUCCAGACUCCUACGGGAGGCAGCAGUGGGGAAUAUUGCACAAUGGGCGCAAGCCUGAUGCAGCCAUGCCGCGUGUAUGAAGAAGGCCUUCGGGUUGUAAAGUACUUUCAGCGGGGAGGAAGGGAGUAAAGUUAAUACCUUUGCUCAUUGACGUUACCCGCAGAAGAAGCACCGGCUAACUCCGUG